GUUUUCUUAUUUUCUAAAAAGAUAGUUGAUUACUUGUUGAUAUUAAUCUAACGUUACUACAGACUGGAUCACCCAACGUUCACUUUUGUCUUCCACAGACUCUUGAAACUGUAAAGAGGUUAUGUCCAAAGCAAACCCUAUUGAUCGGAAUGAAUCACAAAUUUGAUCACCACAAGGACAAUGAGUUUUUAAUGGAAUGGUCCAGAAGGGAAUGAAGGACUAUCAGUGCAGCUUGCUCACGAUGGUUUAAGAGUUCCCAUGAACUUAUAGUAAGGUAAUAGUUGUGGACAUGGAUCACCCUUUUUCACAUCAAGAGUAGCACACGUGGUACCAGAACUAUCAAGUCUUCACUAUGAUUAGUAGCAUGCAUGCAUGUGUCCCAGGUCUCACCCUUCUUGGAGGGCGCGC